GGUCGGAGAGAAGCAAGUAUUAAAGAUGUCGAGAAAAGCUUUGAGAGCCGAAGCAGAGCUCAAAGCCAAAAACCUUAAGAUAUCAAAAAAUAGAGUUGUACAUAGCUACUUUGAUGAUGAUUACGAUGUUUUUGAGCAUCAGAAGAAUGCCGAUAGGAAAGUAAAAGUAUCUAAGAUGGAACCCAGUUACAGCAUUCGGAACAACUCUGCGAAACCUUUCUUGAAAUGGCACUUCUCGCUUGGGUCAAGGUGGAGUAGAUCCCUAUCAGAAAACGAUUAUGCUAGGAAGAAGUGGUUCUGGACCAGACAUCGCAAAGAUUGAGCUCCCGAACCCCAGUUGAUUUGGAUCCGCUGUGGGUAUGGUAAUGUGGGCGAGGGAUUUACUAAGAACCUCAUUGGAACUCCUGUGGACUCCGCUAGCUCCUCCCAUCGACAUGGUCAAGAGGUGCAUUGUUCUGCAUUUUCCCGCUUUUCUCGAUUCCAUCUAGAAGAAAUUUGGGUUGCUGGAACUCAAAGUAGAGAGAGAUUAUAGUUCAAUCCGAGCAAAAACCAUAGGACUCUUAGUUUUAUUAUUCAGCUUAUUAGCCUGACACUACACCAAAGGUUUCACUAUUCUUAUAUUGAUGGUAGAAAAACUAUGGGGUAGAGUAAGAUACUGGGCAGCCCUUCUGGGCAUUGUUUUCGAAUGAGUUUAGGGAUUAUUCUCCUUCCCAUUAGCGUGGGAUAUCUUAGCUAGUUUUGCUAGAUGGAGGAUUUCUUUUGUAAUUUAUGUUAUUGUCUAAAUAACUUGUUAUCGUUUCUUAUGACAAUAAAUAAGAGAGGUUUUUUCCUC